GGAGGGAUGGCCGAGUGGUCGAAGGCGACGGUCUUGAAAACCGUUGUAGCCUAACGGUUACCGUGGGUUCGAACCCCACUCCCUCCGCCA
rnacentral:tRNA from 1 species